rnacentral:rRNA from 1 species
GACGAACGCUGGCGGCGUGCCUGAUACAUGCAAGUAGAACGCUGAAGAGAGGAGCUUACUCUUCUUGGAUGAGUUGCGAACGGGUGAGUAACGCGUAGGUAACCUGCCUUGUAGCGGGGGAUAACUAUUGGAAACGAUAGCUAAUACCGCAUAACAAUGGAUGACACAUGUCAUUUAUUUGAAAGGGGCAAUUGCUCCACUACAAGAUGGACCUGCGUUGUAUUAGCUAGUAGGUGAGGUAAUGGCUCACCUAGGCGACGAUACAUAGCCGACCUGAGAGGGUGAUCGGCCAAACUGGGACUGAGACACGGCCCAGACUCCUACGGGAGGCAGCAGUAGGGAAUCUUCGGCAAUGGGGGCAACCCUGACCGAGCAACGCCGCGUGAGUGAAGAAGGGUUUCGGAUCGUAAAGCUCGGUUGUAAGUCAAGAACGGGUGUGAGAGUGGAAAGUUCACACUGUGACGGUAGCUUACCAGAAAGGGACGGCUAACUACGUG